GUGGGGAAUAUUGGGCAAUGGGCGAAAGCCUGACCCAGCAACGCCGCGUGAGGGAAGAAGGUUUUCGGAUUGUAAACCUCUGUCCUCAGGGACGAAGGAAGUGACGGUACCUGAGGAGGAAGCCCCGGCUAACUACGUGCCAGCAGCCGCGGUAAUACGUAGGGGGCGAGCGUUGUCCGGAAUGACUGGGCGUAAAGGGCGUGUAGGCGGCUUUUUAAGUCUGGAGUGAAAGUCCUGCUUUCAAGGUGGGAAUUGCUUUGGAGACUGGAGAGCUUGAGUGCGGAAGAGGUAAGUGGAAUUCCCAGUGUAGCGGUGAAAUGCGUAGAGAUUGGGAGGAACACCAGUGGCGAAGGCGACUUACUGGGCCGUAACUGACGCUGAGGCGCGAAAGCGUGGGGAGCGAACAGGAUUAGAAACCCCAGUAGUCC
rnacentral:rRNA from 1 species